AGUGAACGCUGGCGGUAGGCCUAACACAUGCAAGUCGAACGGCAGCACAGUAAGAGCUUGCUCUUACGGGUGGCGAGUGGCGGACGGGUGAGGAAUACAUCGGAAUCUACUUUUUCGUGGGGGAUAACGUAGGGAAACUUACGCUAAUACCGCAUACGACCUACGGGUGAAAGCAGGGGAUCUUCGGACCUUGCGCGGUUGAAUGAGCCGAUGUCGGAUUAGCUAGUUGGCGGGGUAAAGGCCCACCAAGGCGACGAUCCGUAGCUGGUCUGAGAGGCUGAUCAGCCACACUGGAACGGAGACACGGUCCAGACUCCUACGGGAGGCAGCAGUGGGGAAUAUUGGACAAUGGGCGCAAGCCUGAUCCGGCCAUACCGCGUGGGUGAAGAAGGCCUUCGGGUUGUAAAGCCCUUUUGUUGGGAAAGAAAAGCAGCAGGUUAAUACCCCGCUGUUCUGACGGUACCCAAAGAAUAAGCACCGGCUAACUUCGUG
rnacentral:rRNA from 1 species